UUCUUCUAGUGCAAAAAAAAAAAAAGAAAACUAGCUUUAUUGAGGUAUUGAGAUAUAGUUCACCCAUUACAGUGUACAAAUCACUGUAUUUGUAUACUCUAUCCUGUAAUUGUAUUAAAAUAAAGUUUACCCAUUUACAAUGUACAAAUCAAUAGAUUUUAGUGUAUUCACAGUUAUGCAACCAUCGUAACAAUCAAUUUUAGAAUAUUUUCAUUACCCUAAGAGACUCCAUACUCAUUAUUAUAUUUUAUAAUAUUUUCAUUACUCUGCAAAGAAACUCCAUACUCAUUCUUAUUUGCUCCUCAUUCCUCUUCAAUGCCGCCAGUCCCCGGCAGCCACUAGUCUACUUUCUGUCUCUGUGUAUUUGUCUACUCUGGACAUUUCAUAUAAUUACAUAAAAGGUGGUCUUUUGUGUUUGGUUUCUAUAAUAUUGUAACACAGUAAGAAACAUAUAUUUGGUCUCUGUCCUUGGUUCCUGGCACUACAGCUCCUGAAACCCUGGGAGUCUCUGGAGAGAAGAGAGUAGCUUUUGUAUGCUAAUGAGAUGACUAGUGGUUGGAAUCUCCUAGAUAGCCUCAGGAUUGUAGGGGUGUGUGGGGCUAGUUGCCAAGGAAACCAACCCAACCAUAUCAUUAGAAGGUGUGAGCUUUCAAACCCCCCAACCUCUCAGGAAGGGAGAGGGGCUGAAGGUUAAGUUGAUCACAAAUGGCCAGUGAUGUAAUCGAUCAUGCCUACAUAAUGAGGCCUCCAUAAAAGUCCCCGAAAACUGGAUUGCUGAACAUGUGGAGGUACCUGGGGGGUGGCACAUCCAGAGAGGGUAUGGAAGAUCUGCAUUCCCUCCCCGAUACCUUGCCCUAUGUAUCUCUUCCAUCUUUCUGUCAAUCUGUAUCUUUUGUAAUAUCCUUUUAAUAAAUGGGUAAAUGUUUCAGGUGUUUCCCUGAGUUCUGUGAACCAGUCUAGCAAAUUAAACCCAAGAAGGAGAUCAUGGGAACCCUAAUUUAUAGCCAAUUGCAGUUAGAAAUUGCAAUUGGUAUCAGAAGUGGGGGGCAGUCUUGUGGGAAUGAGCCCUCGACCUGUGGGAUCUGAUGCUAAGUCCAGGUAAGUAGUGUCAGGGUGGAGUUAAAUUGUAGGACACCCAGUUAGUAUCUGCAAAAGAACUGUGUGGUGUGUGGAGAACCCCCCUACAUAUCUGGUGUCAGAAGUUCCUGUCGAGUGGUGUGUGAAAGUAGGAAAAACACUUUGUUUUUUCCUGUCCCUAUCAGCUUCUUUCACUAAGUAUAAAGUGUUUGAGGUUCACCCACGUUGCAGCACAUAUCAGUGCUUCAUUUAUUUUUACCGCCAAAUGAUAUUUCACCGUAUGGCUAUCCCACAAUUUGUUGAUCUGUUCAUCAGUCGAUGAACAUUUGGGUUGUUUCUUCUUUUUGGCUGUUAUGUAUAAUGCAGCUAUGAAAUUCAUGUACAAUGUUUGUGUGAACAUAUGCUUUCCUUUCUCUUAGGUAUAUACAUAGAAGUAGAAUUUCUGGGUCAUAUGGUAAAUUUAUUUUAAACCUUUCAGGAACUGCCAGACUGUUUUUGGCUGCACCAUUUUACAUUCCUAUCAGCAGAGUGUAAAGGUUCCAAUUUCUUCUCCACAUCCUUACCAACACUUUUUUUUAUUUUUUUUUAAGACAGAAUCUCACUCUGUUGCCAGGCUGGAGUGCAGUGGUGCGAUCUCGGCUCACUGCAACCUCCACCUCCCAGGUUCAAGCAAUUCUUCUGUCUCAGCUUCCUGAGUAGCUGGGCGCGUGCCACCACACCCAGCUAAUUUUUGUAUUUUCAGUAGAGAUGGGGUUUCACCAUGUUGGCCAGGCUGGUCUCGAUCUCUUGACCUCGUGAUCCACCCACCUCGGCCUCCCAAAGUGCUGAGAUUACAGGCAUGAGCCAUCGCGCCCGGCACCAACACCUUUUAUUAUUUGUUGUUUUGAUCAUAGUUAUCCUAGUGUGUGUGAAGAUUUUGAUUUGCAUUUCUGUGGUGACUAAAGAUGUUGAGCGUCUUUUCAUGUGUUUAUUGGUCAUUUAUAUAUCUUCUUUGGAGAAAUGUUUGUUCAGGUCCUUUGCCUACUUUAAAAUUGGGUUAUGUAUAUUUUUAUAAUUGAAUCAUAAGAGUUCUUUUUUUUUCUUUUCUGUUUUUUUGUUUUGUUUUGUUUUUUAUUGUUGUUGUUUUGGGACAGGGUCUCUCUCUGUUACUUAAGCUGGAAUGCUGCAGCCUUGACCUCCCAGGCUCAAUAAAUCCUCCCAUCUCAUCUUCCUGAGUAGCUGGGACUACUGGUGCACAUUACCAUGCCUGGCUAAUUUUUGUAAUUUUUAUAGAGAUGGGGUCACACCAUGUGAAUACAAUACAAUACAAUACAAUCACAGGAUAGAGUAUACAAAUACAGGCUCUUCUCAAAGUCCUGGGCUCAAGCAAUCCCCCUGCCUCAGCCUCCCAAAGUGCUGGGAUUACUGGUGUGAGCCACUGUGCCGGGCCAGAGUUCUUUAUAUGUUUUAGAUACAAGCCUCUUGUUAGAUAUAAUGAUUUGCACAAUUUUUCUCUCAUUUUGUGCGUUGUCUUUUCACUUUCUUAAUGAUAUCCUUUGAAGCACAAAGAUUUUAAUUUUGAAGAUAUCCAAUUUAGCUAUUUUUUUUCUUUAGUUGCUUAUGCUUUUGGAAUUUUAUUCCAGUGUUGUUUUGAAAGCUAUUUUUUUUUCCCAGCUUCCCGUUCAGGGUUAGAAAAAUUGUCUGAUUUCUCUUUCCUGCCCAAAAUUACUUAGAAUAGUAUAAGCUAAUAUUUACCAACCACUUACUAUGUCUCAGGCUCUUGUUAGAGUUCAGACAGCUUGGGUAAUCAGUGCGGGAUCUCAAGGCUAAGGAUGAAUUCAGCUAAUCUCACUCUGGAGCCCAUACUCUUCAAUCGCUUCACUGUGCUACUGAUCAGGUCUUCCUCAUCUUGACUGUUUCAUUUUUGCAGGAGGAAAAUGGUGUAUUUGCUGUUAGUGUUAGACAAGUUAUUCUGCCUACUCUUUGUUCUCUUCCCUUUUCUGAGGUAAGUCCCCUGCCCCACCCUUUCUAGAAUUGCCAGAAUCUACAAACUGUCCAAAACACACAUGUACUCAUCCAAAAAGGCAAAACAACACCCUCAUUCAUGACACAGAAUUCUCAAAGCCCUGGUGUCACAGCUGCAGUCUCUCCCUGACCCUUGCCUCACCCUAACUGUGCUGAGUCUUCUCUUUGGUUGUGAUAGCCUAGGGUGUGACAUCCAGGGACAGCUUUGACACCCUCGGAUGUAAGUGCCAUGCUGUGGCUUGCCUUGGAACCCACAAGAAGGGCCCAGGUUCAAAAUCCUUUAACUGUCAGUUGAAUCAAACAUGAUCAUGUGGAGCAGUACACAACAAAAGCAAGUCAGACUGCCUUCUCAGGUGUUUCCUUUCACUUUGGCAAUAUCGAUGUUUAAACUUCAAGUUUAUUAUUAUUAUUUUAAAUAAGUGAGGUCAGAAUUACCCAACAGGAGCCCAAGAACUUCUUACCCCGCACUGCAACCCCCCAUUCUGCAGUAUCCAAUUACCUAUGAAAUCCAUUUGCAUCUACUUCAGAAAUAUCUCUCAGCCUCCCUCUCCCAUUGAAUCUUUCCUGCCACUGCAUCAGUUCAGAUCUCUAUCAUCUCUUAGGUGGACUAAUUCAUCUCAUUUCUGUCUUUUUUUUUUUUUUUUUCUUUAGACAGGUCUCACUCUGUCACCCAGGCUGGAGUACAGUGGCCUGAUCAUGCUGAUUGCAGCCUCAACCUCCUGGGCCCAAGCAAUCCUCCUGCCUCAGUCUCCUGAGAGGCUGAGGCAGGAGAAUCACUUGAACCCGGGAGGCAGAGUUUGCAGUGAGCAGAGAUCUUGCCACUGUACUACAGCCUGGGCGACAGAGUGAGACUCUGUCUCAAGAAGAAAAAAAAAAAGAAAAGAGUCUGCCACCUAAAGGCAUUUAAUUAGCAUUUGUGAAAGAAAUAGUAGUCCAGUUGGUAAUUUCCCCACUGCUUGCAAGACCUCACAAAAGGCCUUGUAAUAAAAACAAUUAAAUCUCAUGUGACCCAGGUGUGUCAGGAAUGCCUUCCUAUUCUGCUAUGUGGAUGAGUUUUGCUAGUUUUCAAGGUUUAGUCAAGGCAAAGGAGAUAGCUUGUCUCCUACGAUUAGCGAGUCAUCUGCUAGCCUGUGGAGGGACAAACAGGUACGAUACUCCUUCGUCACUCAUCACAAUGGUCAUGGCAGACACUUCUAUAACAAAAGACAAGUUAGCAAGAGAAAAGCAUGACAAAUUUAUUUAACAAAGUUUUAAAUGACAUGGGAGACUUCAGAAAUGAAGAACCAAAGACCCAGGAAAAGCUGGGUAUUCUUAUGCUUAGGUUUGCUGACAAAUGGACAGUCACGUAGAAAUGAGAUUGGACAACAAGGGUAUGCUGCAAUAAUGGUAAUCAACUGAGGGGAAUGCAGCAAGGCCUGUCUGUUCUGCUUCUUCUUGGCCCCCUAUGUAGCUCUGGGUAUAGCACAAGACACUUGUCACAUGAAGGUCUUCAGGGAAGAGGGGAGAAUGUCAGAGAGUGACAUUUCUAGGUUUUAUGGCCUGCUUCAGGGGAGAGGAGUUAGAAUUUCUAUGACCCAUCUUGAGGAAGACUUAUUCUGGUUUUAUGAGUUGCUUCAGGGGAGAAAGAGAGUCUGGAGAUAGGAGGGUGGGAGAAGGUCGGAAAUAUGUUGCUUCUGAGGCCCUUGCAAUCUCCUUCAGUUCAAAGUACUCAGCAUGCCAAAGCACCACACUUUAGGGCACUGUGUUUUGAGCCCCAACACCAGUAAACUCCUCCUUAUCUUAGUUAUGGGGGGGAGUCUGGCCUGUAACCCUCUCGGACCCAUCUCUGCUAGGGACCACCAACUGAUCAGGAUAUUUGUUUCUCAAACACAUAUGCAUCCAUUUCCGCAAGCUCAAACACCCUCUGGACACUAAUCUUUUCCAAAAAAAUGUAGAUAAGCAUUGCAAAAUCAUUCGGAAGAGGAGGACCAACAGUUAUAACCCUCUCUGAGUAACCUGCUCCCUACGACCAUAUGAGGAAAGGAGGUGAGCAGACGGGACAAGGACUCACAAUUUAGACCUUUACAAGAUAUCCCAAAUGGCUGUUACCUUGCUCUCUGUCUCCUCAGGUUUCUGCUGUCCUCCUCUUCGAUCUUCCCUCUGAGAUUCCUUUUCUAAUGAUCCCAUCCCUUUGCCUCAGAAAUCAGUCCCAUUCUCAAAAAGAGAAAGUGGUCCCAGUUGCUGCUGUCUCUUCUUAUGAAGUGCAAAGAUGAAUGCCUUGGGCUUCUGCUGAGUGUUAAAGGCAGAUUCCCUUGGCUUAUCCUUCUGCUGACUCUAAAGUGGGAGGAAUGUGGCUACCCCUGUAGUGGAACUUCUUGAAAUGCUUUUCCCCCUUGGGCAGUGAGGGCUGAUGGCUGAGGCCAAUUUCCUCCUGAAAUACCUAAGGACAAAUAUUUCCCCAUAAUCAGUAUUGCUCAUCUUUCAAAGACAAUGGGGGUCAGUAACACAGGAGCAAAGUAUUUUUCAGGCUUUUUAAAUUUUUGGAGCUGAAAUAUCACUAUGUUGCCCAGAACGGCCUCCAACUCCUGGGCUCAAGUGAUUCUCCUGCCUCAGCCUCCUGAGUAGCUGGGAUGACAGGCAUGUACUCUAGCCCCAUGCCUGGGUUUUUUUUUUUUUUCCCAGCAUAUUAAUAUGUUCUUCACUUCACCCUAUUAUAUCAUUGUGGUAAAGGAGUUUCUGUUGUCUUCCUGGCCCUUUUCAGUUCAAAAGUCUGUCAGUUGAGAAUGUUUGUUUACUUCCUACCACAGAGUUUUUUUUAUCCUAAAAGCUCUCCCUAGAUGGAGUGGGGGUGGGGAGGAUCUCCCUUAUCCUGCCAAGCAAACUAAAUAGAAACUUGAAAGUUUACAUAUAACUGGAGUGGGGUGGCUCAGAUGCCUGUAAACCCAGCACUUUGGGAGGCUGAGAUGAGAGGAUUGCUUGAAGCCAGGAGUUCAAAACCAGCCUAUGCAACAUAGCGAGACCCUGUUUUUUCCAAAAAAGACAGAAAGAAAGAAAUUAGCUAGGUGUGGUGGCACACACCUGUAGUCCCAGCUCCUCAGGAGGCUAAGGCAGGUGGAUCGCUUGAGUCCAGGAGUUCAAGGUUACAGUGAGCUAUGAUCAUGCCACUGUACUCCAGCUUGGGUGACAGAACAAGAUCCUGUCUUUCUCUAAAAUAAAAAUAAAAUAAAGUAAAAUAAAAACAAUAAAUAAUUUUUAAAAAAUUUUAAAGAAGUUUGCAUACAGAAUUAGCAAGAUAAUUAUAAAGGCUAUGUUUAUGGAUUUGUAAUUGCCUAACAGGUUCUUACCCACUGCACAGGUAAAUGCAAUUCACUGAGACAGUAUUAUUGCAGUAAAGAGUUUAAUUAACACAAGGCCAGCCAAGCAGAACUGAAGUUAUUACUCAAAUCAGUCUCCCCAGCAACUCAGAGGCCAGGGUUUUUAUGGAUAAUUUGGUGGGUAGGGAGCAAGGGAAGGGGUGCUGCUCAUAGGUUAGGAAUGAAAUCACAGGGGUGUGGAAAACAAUUACGUGCACUGAGUCAGCCUCUGGGUGGGGCCACAGGACUGGCUGAAGCCUGAGCCUCAGGUCUGGGUGAGGUCAAUCAGUUGCCAGAAUGUAAAAAUCUGAAAAGUAUCUCAAAAGACCAAUUUUAGGUUCUACAUUAGUGAUGUUAUCUACAUGAGCAACUGGGGAAGUCACAAAUCUUGUGACCACAUGACUCUGACCACAUGACUCCUGAGCAGUAAGGAUUAUAUAAAAUAUGCCUGUAGUUUAGCAGAAUUCAGGCCCCUCCCAUAAUCUUAAUCUUGUGGUCUCUCAGUCUUACAAAGGUGGUUUCAGUCUGUUAAUAAAGAGAUUACUUUUAGAAAAGGACUAUUAUCAUCUUGCUUUAAAGUUAAACUAUAGGCUGGGAGUGGUGGCUCAUGCCUGUAAUCUCAAGCACUUUGGGAGGCCGAGAUGGGAGUAUGGCUUGAGACCAGCAGUUUGAGACCAGCCUGGUCAACAUAGCAAGACCUCAUCCCUAUUUAGUUAAAAAAAAAAAAAAAAAGGUAAACUAUGACUAUAUGACUAAAUUCCUCCCAUGGUUAGCUUGGUCUAUGCCCAGCAAUGAGGAAAGACAGCCAGGCUGUGAGGCUAGAAGCAAGAUGGAGUCAGCCAUGCUAGACUGGUCUCGCUAUCAUAAUCUCUGCAAAGGUGGUUUCAGAUUCAGGGCCUUGCUCUACAAAAUGUCCUUAAAAAUAUGAUGCCUUCAAUUUCAGAGGAAAUAGUGAGAUUUCUAAACAACAUGUGACUUUUUGCCUAGGAGCUAAAAGCUUUCAACUCCUCUUCUUCC
rnacentral:lncRNA from 1 species